UGCCAGCAGCCGCGGUAAUACGUAAGUCCCAAGCGUUACCCGGAAUCACUGGGUGUAAAGCGUUCGCAGGCUGUUUUACAAGUCAGAUGUGAAAUCCCCGAGCUCAACUUGGGAACUGCGUUUGAAACUGUAAGACUAGAGUGUGUCAGAGGGGGGUAGAAUUCCAUGUGUAGCAGUGAAAUGCGUAGAUAUGUGGAGGAAUACCAAUGGCGAAGGCAGCCCCCUGGGAUAACACUGACGCUCAUGAACGAAAGCGUGGGGAGCAAACAGGAUUAGAUA
rnacentral:rRNA from 1 species